CCUAAAUACCAAAAACAGGAGGGAAAAUAUUUACUUUCUAUUUUUCAUCUAGGAACAAUUUAAUGUUCCUAGGCGUUUGUCUUUUCAUUUGUUCUUAGUCUGAAGCAAGGAAUCUUUCUCAAGGUUUCCAACAAUAAGAAACUAUCUUCUGGGUAUGGAGCAUAACUCAGGAAGCCUGGGGAAAAGCACCAAUCAAAGUUCAGGUUCAUCACAACAGAUUGAGCAUUCCAACCCAAGACCAGAAGCCUCAUAUACAGAGCAAAAUAUUGAGGAAGAUUGGGAUGUCUUUGAAGAGGAGUCUCUUGCCAUGAAGGAGUCAGCCUAUGAUGAUGGACUAAACUGGGAUGAGGAGUUUCAUGAUACCAUGGAGGAGUCUGCCUUUGAUGAUUGUGUAAACUGGGAUGAGGAAUUUGAAAGGGUUGCUGGCAGAGAUGGAUCUCCCUCAACAUGCAAGGAGGAUUCAGUGAUUAAUGUGGAACAACCACUCUGUGACAAUGCCCUUACAACUGUUGCUGAGUGCCUUCUUAUCAUAUGAUAUAUAUAAAUUGUCACAAAGUCACUGGAAAGGCCCUCAUUGACUUACUGAAACUGAUUACGUUGCUUUGUCCAGAAGAAUUUAACACAGAUUGUUAGAGCAGCAUACAUAAAUUCAGAGAAUUUCCCCCCAUCUCUGCUGCAGUAUCCUAUAUCUUGCACAAGUAUCGUAGUCCUUAUUUGGUAUUAGUUGAGAAGGAUGAUAGCGUAUGUCAAUCGUGUGGUGCCAAUGUGCUGAAAGAGGAAGCAACAUCUUAUUUUAUUGKCGUUUCUAUUGAGGAGCAACUGCAGGUGCUGGUUGCAAAAGAGAGAUUCAAAGAAAAAUGUCAGAAUUUCAGAUUCAAGAGGCAGAAAAAUUUGGAUAUACACUGCUCAAAAAAAUAAAGGGAACACUUAAACAACACAA